GUGUGUGUGUGUGCCAAGGCUUUUUUGGAGGCAGAAUGGCACGGAGGCAGAAAAGGCAGUAGAGUGUACAACAGGAAUAUCGCUGCACGAGCACGGGUUUACAAUACCCAGCAUCCGGUUGAAUAAAAUACGCGUAGAGAGUCACUGCGAUACGACGAAUGUAAAGCAAUGGGGGGGAAAGUGAAGAAGUGAACUAGGUGGAAUUUUCUCCAUCUGCAGGGGAGGAAAGGAUUCCCCACAAAACCACAAGAGGGUGAUCUUUCAAUACACAAACCCACUGACUUUUCAUCAACUCAGAAAAUGGUCAUUUCAGCAGACUCUCGUCAUGAAACGCAAUAAACCAUUACCAAGUACAGUGAGCUCCACCUGCUGCCGCUGAUAUGCAAGCAAUGGAUCAAAGCCAGGAUUGGCCCGAGAACACAACUUGCCACACUCACACACGAACACACACAGGGGAUAUGUGAGUCAGCCCUGCAUAUCGGCCAGCCUGCACUCAUUCACAAACACACACUGCUCUCUGCCCAUGCCAACAGACUGAGAAAACACUACAUAUUGCUCUUCAGGCCUACAAAAUAUUAUUAGAGAUAUCCUCAUGAGCGUCAUUGACUUUGUUCAUUAUUCUGGCUGAAAAUUUUGGAAUGACACUUUAUCCUUAAUAUGUCAUUUCUUUUUUUGUUUGUUUGUUUGUUUUUGUUCCAAAUAAAUCAAUAAAUAAACAAAUA